ACAUAAGUAGGAUAAUCCUUACCUGUUCUUUUUUGGGGUGGAGGGAAGAUUGGAACUUGAUGAUUGGAGUUCCCAUGAUAUUUGAUUAAUGUCUCUGCAUAAUCAAGACUUGCAACACCUUGAUUGUACUUAUCUGAU